GCGUGUUUACAAAAAGGCACAAUCGUGUCAAUAUUGCCAAAUGUUUGUACAAAAUAAAUGACUGUUUUAUGUUGAAAAUGGACAUGAUCUAAAUUAAUCAUACAGAAUUUUUUAGAGACGUUCUAUUUCAGAACCCUGCUAUUGUCUCUGGUGGGCUGUCCGUGUGCAUUCGAUCUGAAACAGUCGCUACUAUGCUGUCGAAAAAUUUCGAAUGUUUACAUGAACAUAGAGGCAAGUUAUGCAUUUUACAACCUCGUAAACUGUAUGAGCCCCUAUUUUUACGCUUAUACCUAAGAUAUCAAAUAAAAGUACAUGAAACAGAGAACACUUUCAGAAAGUUUUAUCGUGAGGCGACGGCCAGUUUUUAAAAUAUCUUUAUUUCUGUUCCGGUCAUCACCAAAAUUACACUAAAGCCGGGCUUGAAUAUACAACAAAUUUUGAAUCUCAUCGGAGUACAAAAAUAUUUAACGUGUAACCAAAAUAUGCUCACGAAAUCGAAAUUAAUAGCUAAAUUUUCAAACUAGACCCUUCUCGAAGCGGUUUUCAUGAAGGAAGUUCACAUUUCGGCCUUUGAUUCUUGGCAAAAAUUUGACAACAACACGUGCGAAGCAACUGGGUCUCAAAGACUCAGCUAAAACAUUGUGAGCCCCUAUUUUCCUGACGAUAUGUUUGAUACCUACAAACACCUAAAAGUUUUUUCUUUUCAUUUAUCUAUAUUUGAAAUUGAGGCCACGGGCUAUUUUUGAGAAAAUACAGUUCAAAGUCAAGCUAUUUUUACAUAUUUUCAAAAUUUGUCAAAUUUCGC